AAGGGUAGCAAUACCUGAGUAAAGUGGCGCACGGGUGAGUAACACGUGACUAACCUACCCUCGAGUGUGGAAUAACAUCGGGAAACCGAUGCUAAUACCGCAUAACAUCGCAAGAUCAAAGGAGCAAUCCGCUUGAGGAGGGGGUCGCGGCUGAUUAGCUAGUUGGCGGGGUAACGGCCCACCAAGGCGAAGAUCGGUAGCCGGCCUGAGAGGGCGCACGGCCACACUGGAACUGAAACACGGUCCAGACUCCUACGGGAGGCAGCAGUGGGGAAUUUUGCGCAAUGGGGGAAACCCUGACGCAGCAACGCCGCGUGGAGGAUGAAGCCCCUUGGG
rnacentral:rRNA from 1 species